GCUGCACUGACUGUAUGCUAAUUUAAACAGCUAGGCUGUUCGAGAAAUGACCUGAAAAGCCCCUUUCCCAACGUCCGCCAGGACCCGGGUCCCAACACAGUCCUGUUCAGCCUUAAGCCUCUGCCUCCCAAACGGAGCUGAACAAAAGCCGGGCUGACAGUUCCCCUCAAACCCUUCUUGGGCUCUAGGAUCAAGUAAUUAUUUAAAGAGAAAAUUAAGAACCAAUAUCUAAAGGCUAGGAAAGUUCUAACUUUUUGUUUUUGUUGUUGAGGGGAAUGAGGGAGGGACUGGCAACAGUCAUUCUAGACUCCCUCCAAAAUAAUCUGAAAAGAAAAAUGAUUUGCCAUUGGAAGUCCACUCUAGAUGACAGAGAAUAUAUGCCAUUAUAUAUUCACAAGAUAUGCAACCUUCAAAGAAUUCUCCUGGGCUAAUGCUGAGAUUAAUUUUUCAAGGGGAGAAAGCUGAAAAUGAAAAAAGAAAAAAGAAAAAGAAAAGAAACACAGAUAUUGAUCUCAUGUGCUUUUUCUUGCUGUAGACCUUCAACUUGUUUUUAAUACAGAUGUGACUCUGCUUCUGGAAAUCACUUAUCUGGGAAGAAAGCUGUCUUGAAUUCUGCCCGUAUCAGCCCGUGAGAGGUGUGCAUUAUUCUCUGUGAGCACAAAGGCCAGAAAACCUUCCAGAGGCAGCACCGCCAUCGGCGGAGGCUGCAUGGACAGUGGGGGUGUGAUCACACCAGGUUUCCACAAGGCUUAAAUUUUCGUGUGUUGGGUAGUCUGGAGCGCACUCCCAUUCCAAAAAUUCAUCGGUCAUUAUUGCUCCUGUUUUCAAAGGACUCCUCUCAAACUGUGUAACCCUGAACCGGGCUCCCCAGACAUGAGACAUACACCAUGUGAUCCACUCUUUUCCAUCACGGAGAUGAUAGUCGUUGAACUAGGGCUUGCUAUUAGAGGGCCUGAAAUUUUCCUGAUCAUGAUUCUGUUUGAAUUUUUCCAGCCAGGUGUGUUGUUUUUUGUUACUAUGUGCCAACAUACAGCUGCAGCACAGUGCUUAAUAACAUAGAAAUAACAUGAACUUUAAAAAAAUGCAUCUGUUUUAUUGUUUAGACUUACACAAGGCCUAUAUAAAGGUUAAGCAGUUCAAAUAACUAAGGGAAUUAAAAUUU